CCCUACGGGGUGCUGAUUGCCGGAUCGGUUCUGGGGUUCGGCGGGAUGGUGAUCCAGCAGGUCUGGUCGCCAUACGUGGUUCCGUUCCUGCUUCAUCUUUUCACGGCUAACGCCUGGUUGCUGGCGCAUGCCGACAAGUUUCCGAUCAACGGACAGUGUUUAUUAUUCUACUCCAUGGCGACGGCUUCGUUGAGUUAUGUGCUCGUGUCCCUGCUUGGUCCGCGCAAGGUCUUUGACCUGGACCGCAUGUUGCAUCGGGGCAAGUACGCGGUAACCGACGACAUCAAGGAAGCAGCCAAAGCCGACAGCGUGGCAGAGCGGACAUGGCGCCAGCGUUUCGCCAAUGCGAUUGGAUUGACGACGGAACUAAAGCGGGCAGAUCGUAUUCUGUUCUGGGCGACGUUCUGGUGGAGCAUGAAUUGGCGGGAGGGC
rnacentral:rRNA from 1 species